rnacentral:rRNA from 1 species
CAGUAGCCGCGGGAAACCGGAGGGAGCUAGCGUUGUUCGGAAUUACUGGGCGUAAAGCGCGCGUAGGCGGUUACUCAAGUCAGAGGUGAAAGCCCGGGGCUCAACCCCGGAACUGCCUUUGAAACUAGGUGACUAGAAUCUUGGAGAGGUCAGUGGAAUUCCGAGUGUAGAGGUGAAAUUCGUAGAUAUUCGGAAGAACACCAGUGGCGAAGGCGACUGACUGGACAAGUAUUGACGCUGAGGUGCGAAAGCGUGGGGAGCAAACAGGAUUAGAUACCCGUGUAGUCCCUGUCUCUUAUAA